GAUGAAGAACGUAGCGAAAUGCGAUAAGUAAUGUGAAUUGCAGAAUUCAGUGAAUCAUCGAAUCUUUGAACGCACAUUGCGCCCGCCAGUAUUCUGGCGGGCAUGCCUGUUCGAGCGUCAUUUCAACCAUCAAGCCCCCGGCUUGUGUUGGGGACCUGCGGCUGCCGCAGGCCCUGAAAACCAGUGGCGGGCUCGCUAGUCACUCCGAGCGUAGUAAUACAUCUCGCUCAGGGCGUGCUGCGGGUUCCGGCCGUUAAAAAGCCUUAUUUACCCAAGGUUGACCUCGGAUCAGGUAGGAAGACCCGCUGAACUUAAGCAUAUCAUAAGCGGAGA
rnacentral:misc_RNA from 1 species